rnacentral:misc_RNA from 1 species
GAUGAAGAACGCAGCGAAAUGCGAUAAGUAAUGUGAAUUGCAGAAUUCAGUGAAUCAUCGAAUCUUUGAACGCACAUUGCGCCCAUUAGUAUUCUAGUGGGCAUGCCUGUUCGAGCGUCAUUAAGUCCACUUAAGCCCAGCUUAGUGUUGGGAGACUGCUCCAGUGGUGCUACCCUGUAGCUACCCUGCAGCUCCUUAAAGACAGCGGCGGAGUCGUGUUAUCCUCUGAGCUUAGUAAAUCAUUCUAGCUUUCGAGAGUAUCACUUCACCUGCCGUUAAACCACCUAAUUUUUAUGGUUGACCUCGGAUCAGGUAGGAAUACCCGCUGAACUUAAGCAUAUCAAUAAGCGGAGGA